UGCUUCAGGUCCCUGUUCAGGCGCCAGAUGUCGCUGCCUAACUGUCCGCCGGCGGAAAGAAGACAGGACA
ensembl:miRNA